GGGGGCGACCUGGUUUCGACGCAGGUAGAGAAACAGAGCGGUGCAUGCCGAGGACCAGUCACCUCGUAAAUCCACUGGAAGCCAUACAAACGCCAACGACGAGCGUUUCGCUCUCGCCGCUUAAUCCCGGUGAGACGCUGCACUAGCCUGCCACUGGGCUAGGCCGGGCAACCGGCAGCAGCGCCAUUUUCAGUGGCUGGACGUAGGCGAAGUCGUGGCGCCUGCGUCGAGAUCAAGCGACUGGUUGCGCGCCGGCCCGCCGGUUGGCCAAGCGCGCGGCGAGAUCCAAUAAACCGGCUACGCAUGUAGAGCCGCCUGCGGACCGCUUGCGGACGCGGGUUCGAUUCCCGCCGCCUCCACCA
rnacentral:tmRNA from 1 species